GAUGAACGCUUGCGGCGUGCCUAAUACAUGCAAGUCGAGCGAACAGACGAGGAGCUUGCUCCUCUUACGUUAGCGGCGGACGGGUGAGUAACACGUUGAUAACCUACCUAUAAAACUGGGAUAACUUCGGGAAACCGGAGCUAAUACCGGAUAAUAUAUUGAACCGCAUGGUUCAAUAGUGAAAGACGGUUUUGCUGUCACUUAUAGAUGGAUCCGAGCCGCAUUAGCUAGUUGGUAAGGUAACGGCUUACCAAGGCAACGAUGCGUAGCCGACCUGAGAGGGUGAUCGGCCACACUGGAACUGAGACACGGUCCAGACUCCUACGGGAGGCAGCAGUAGGGAAUCUUCCGCAAUGGGCGAAAGCCUGACGGAGCAACGCCGCGUGAGUGAUGAAGGUCUUCGGAUCGUAAAACUCUGUUAUUAGGGAAGAACAAAUGUGUAAGUAACUAUGCACGUCUUGACGGUACCUAAUCAGAAAGCCACGGCUAACUACGUG
rnacentral:rRNA from 1 species